GCAGGGGGCACCCUGAAUCCAGCCAUGCCGCGUGAGUGAAGAAGGCCUUUUGGUUGUAAAGCACUUUAAGCAGUGAAGAAGACUCCAUGGAUUAAUACCCAUGGACGAUGACAUUAGCUGCAGAAUAAGCACCGGCUAACUCUGUGCCAGCAGCCGCGGUAAUACAGAGGGUGCAAGCGUUAAUCGGAAUUACUGGGCGUAAAGCGAGCGUAGGUGGCUUAAUAAGUCAGAUGUGAAAGCCCCGGGCUUAACCUGGGAACGGCAUCUGAUACUGUUAGGCUAGAGUAGGUGAGAGGAAGGUAGAAUUCCAGGUGUAGCGGUGAAAUGCGUAGAGAUCUGGAGGAAUACCGAUGGCGAAGGCAGCCUUCUGGCAUCAUACUGACACUGAGGUUCGAAAGCGUGGGUAGCAAACAGGAUUAGAUACCCUGGUAGUCCACGCCGUAAACGAUGUCUACUAGUCGUUGGGUCCCUUGAGGACUUAGUGACGCAGCUAACGCAAUAAGUAGACCGCCUGGGGAGUACGGCCGCAAGGUUAAAACUCAAAUGAAUUGACGGGGGCCCGCACAAGCGGUGGAGCAUGUGGUUUAAUUCGAUGCAACGCGAAGAACCUUACCUGGUCUUGACAUAUCUAGAAUCCUGCAGAGAUGCGGGAGUGCCUUCGGGAAUUAGAAUACAGGUGCUGCAUGGCUGUCGUCAGCUCGUGUCGUGAGAUGUUGGGUUAAGUCCCGCAACGAGCGCAACCCUUGUCCUUAGUUACCAGCGGUUUGGCCGGGAACUCUAAGGAUACUGCCAGUGACAAACUGGAGAAGGCGGGGACGACGUCAAGUCAUCAUGGCCCUUACGACCAGGGCUACACACGUGCUACAAUGGUAGGUACAGAGGGCAGCUACACAGCGAUGUGAUGCGAAUCUCAAAAAGCCUAUCGUAGUCCAGAUUGGAGUCUGCACUCGACUCAUGAAGUAGAAUCGCUAGUAUCCCGAUCAAAAUGCCCCGGUGAAUACGUUCCCGGGCCUUGUACCC
rnacentral:rRNA from 1 species